GUAGGUGAACCUGCGGAAGGAUCAUUAAUGAGUGAAAGGGUUCGCGCCCUCGGUGGCUUCACUGCCGCCAAACUCUAUACCCUGUGUCUACGUAUCUUUGUUGCUUUGGCGGGCCCUGAGGUCCUUCUCACGCCGAUCUCGGGCCCUUUGCCCGGGGGGACGAGCGCCCGUCAGUAGCCCAUCUCAAACCCUUUGUAUCAGUGACGUCCGAGUAUUAUGAUAAUAAAUAAAAACUUUCAACAACGGAUCU
rnacentral:misc_RNA from 1 species